CAAAAACUUAUUUGUGGAAGGAAUAAGUAAUUAAUCCAAUGGGAUUUCUGCACAACAUCAUCGUAUCACACGCCACCCAUGUGAGAACUUAAAACACCUCGAAACACCGUGAGGCCAAUCUCCAACCAUAAGUCGCCAGGGAAUACGUCUUUUUGGGAACAAGCUAUGGGAGCGUUCCAGCUCAAUUUUCGUCUUGGCACCUGGGCCUACAGGAGUCAUGGGGUCGCACCAUCCUGGUGCAUCAUUUUCUAGGAUGCAACUGCAACCUCGUUUGGGAACAUUUAGUGAGGUGUUGUAGUAACUAUUGGUUUUUUUUAUAUUUCAGACUAUCUGUUAAAUACACUGUUUUUUUUUCCAGAUUUAGGUUACCUCUGUUUUUUUUUUGACAUAUUUGUAUAUUAGAUUAUUUGGUUCCCAAACUUUGUAUCUACGGUAACUUCUUGUGCACAGGAAUAAGCCUAGAGAAAAUUAGGUUUUUAAUACUUUACUAUUGCUUUGAUAUUGGUUUAUGUAAUUCGGGUAAAUUUAUUUUUUAAUAUUACUAGCUUGUUUCCCAAAUAUUUUACUGUUAUUCGCUUUAUUCCAUUUUGUUCGGUUAAUUUAGGUCAUCGUCGGUAUUUAUCUCAAAUUCAUUUCUACUUUAGUCAAUUGUAUAUUUAACUUUAUUUAUUCAUUAUUGUAUUUUCCCUUAGUGAGGCUUGGGCCUAUUUAUUUGUAGUAUUUUCAUCUUUGUCAGUUUCAUUUAGUUGUACGUAGCAGGCGUACUAUAACCAUUUGGUAGAAGACUUAUGUAAUUUUGUACCCUAUAUAUAUGUAAGAGGUAUUUAAGUUUAUAACAGAUAACAUUAUUGUUGUUAUCUUUAAAAUAUAUAUAGCUUCUUGUAUAACUUAUGUCAUUUUAGAGUUACAUGAUAUAUGCUUGUCUAACUCAGAGAUUGUUAAAAAUCUAGUAGUUAUUUUAAUAAAUAUUUAUUUAUUUUGUA
rnacentral:lncRNA from 1 species